UACCCCCCCUCGGAAAGGAAUAGCCCUCGGGAAACUGGGAGUAAUGCCCUUAUAACAUACGUUUGUCGCAAGGCAUUUGUAUUAAACGCUCCGGCGCCAUAGGAUGGACCCGCGUCCCAUUAGCUAGUUGGUGAGAUAACAGCUCACCAAGGCCACGAUGGGUAACCGGCCUGAGAGGGCGAACGGUCACACGGGAACUGAGACCCGGUCCAGACUCCUACGGGAGGCAGCAGUGGGGAAUAUUGCGCAAUGGGGGCACCCCUGACGCAGCAAUACCGCGUGAGUGAAGAAGGUUUUCGGAUCGUAAAGCUCUGUUAUUGGGGAAGAAAAAAAGACGGUACCCAAGAAGAAAGUUCCGGCUAACUACGUGCCAGCAGCCGCGGUAAUACGUAGGGAACAAGCCUUCUCCGGAUUUACUAGGCGUAAAGGGCCCGCAGGCGGAUUUUUCAAGUCUAGCAUGCUGCACCACGCCCUCCAUACCCCCCCUCGGAAAGGAAUAGCCCUCGGGAAACUGGGAGUAAUGCCCUUAUAACAUACGUUUGUCGCAAGGCAUUUGUAUUAAACGCUCCGGCGCCAUAGGAUGGACCCGCGUCCCAUUAGCUAGUUGGUGAGAUAACAGCUCACCAAGGCCACGAUGGGUAACCGGCCUGAGAGGGCGAACGGUCACACGGGAACUGAGACCCGGUCCAGACUCCUACGGGAGGCAGCAGUGGGGAAUAUUGCGCAAUGGGGGCACCCCUGACGCAGCAAUACCGCGUGAGUGAAGAAGGUUUUCGGAUCGUAAAGCUCUGUUAUUGGGGAAGAAAAAAAGACGGUACCCAAGAAGAAAGUUCCGGCUAACUACGUGCCAGCAGCCGCGGUAAUACGUAGGGAACAAGCCUUCUCCGGAUUUACUAGGCGUAAAGGGCCCGCAGGCGGAUUUUUCAAGUCUAGCAUGCUGCACCACGCCCUCCA
rnacentral:rRNA from 1 species